GCGGGAGUGGCGAAAUUGGUAGACGCACCAGAUUUAGGUUCUGGCUCCGCAAGGUGUGCGAGUUCAAGUCUCGCCUCCCGCACCA
rnacentral:tRNA from 2 species